rnacentral:rRNA from 1 species
UACGUGAAACUGCUCAGAGGSAAACGGGUGGGCCCUCGAAAUCCUCUGGCGGGGAGAUUCAGGCAGGAGGGGCGGAGGUGCUCGCUGGUCGAUUCCUAACGGACCCUGUUCGGGGCCGGGCCGGCGGCACGGUCUCCGUCUCGCCUGACGCAUUUCCUCCCGCACUGUGGACGCCGCAGCCGGUCGGGUAGCUGCGUGAGUCGGCCAUGAGGACGGGCGCCGGCAGGUGGCCGGUGGCGUCGCCCUUCGGGGUCUUCGUCGCCGGUUGUUAGCCAGCUCGUCCGUGGCGCGACACCCGACCGAGGUUUGAAGGUUCCCGCGUGGGAACCCGCCGUCCCCUUCCUCUCGAGGGAGCGGGCGCCCUGGCAGGCGCAUCGCGGUGCCGCCGCGUCACUCUUUGUAGUGGCCGGCGCUCCGAGUUCGCUGUUGGUCGGGCGCGUCCCGCAGGGGUCGCAGGCGGCUGGCGGCGAGUAGGUCGGUCACCCACCCGACCCGUCUUGAAACACGGACCAAGGAGUCUAACAUGUGCGCGAGUCACGGGGUCUUGAUCAGGCCCAGAGGCGCAAUGAAAGUGAAGGCCGGCCUCCGUGCCGGCUGUGUUGGGAUUUCCCGUCCCUCGCGGCGGGGAAGCACCAACGACCCGUCCUAUCCGAUUUAUCGGUUGGGCGGAGUCUGAGCGUACACGUUGGGACCCGAAAGAUGGUGAACUAUGCCUGGGCAGGACGAAGCCAGAGGAAACUCUGGUGGAGGUCCGUAGCGGUUCUGACGUGCAAAUCGAUCGUCAGACCUAGGUAUAGGGGCGAAAGACCAAUCGAA